rnacentral:lncRNA from 1 species
AAGGAUUAGGAAGGGCUUCUCCGAGCCUGAACUACCCUCCUGGGACACAGAAGCAGGAGCUGGGGAGCUUGAGCUUGAGCACAUACAGGUAGAGCUCGGGAUUGAAAACUGAUUUAUAUAGCGUGCGAGCAGGUGGGAAGGAGGGGAAGGUGGGGUCUGUGUACAGUGCAGCCCUGUGGGGCGGUGGUAAUUAUACAUCACAUUGAACUGUCCUUGCAGCACACUGAAGGGCAGCGGGAAUGAGACACUAAAUCACACUUCCCCGAUGCUCACCAUCGCUCACUCCUGUGAUGUGGCCCCAGAGCCCAGGGCUGACACUUCUAGGCGCGUGCAGACACACACACACACACACACACACACACACACACACACACACACACAGCCCAUUGGGAGCUAGCUUCACUGAAGACCUAAAGAGGCUGAGAGGAAGUGGGGAUGUUAUUAAUUCUGGCAGCUUCCAAGAGCUGCAUAUGGGACAAGCCUCACUGUUUAUCCCCACCCCCAAUCUCAGCCUCACUGUUUAUCGCCGCCCCCAGUCUCAGCAUUUGUCUCUCACUACUUCCCUUCCCUUCUGCUGAGCUCCGAAUGACUUGAGCAUCUUUUGCUGGAGACAUCUCUGUCUCCAUUGCUUGCCCUUGCAGUGUCUCUUUGCUUUAAAGCCAGUUGCAGUGAUAGUAUCUCUAAACUCACCUUUGAGGGUUUUUUGUUGUUGUUUUUGUUUGUUUGGUUGGUUUUUUGUUUUGUUUUGUUUUGGUUUUUGUUUUUUUGUUUUGUUUUGUUUUUGAGACCGUUCUAUAGCAUUAGCUGGCCUGGGCCCUCUAUGUAGACCAGGCUAGCCUCAAAGUAACCAAGAUAUACUUGCUUUUGCUGGGAUUAAAGGCCUACUGCCAUCACACUUCACAAUCUCAAUUUUAAUUUAAAUUGCCUGGAAAAUCCCAAGGACUGAAUGUAGCCCAGGCUGGCCUCAAAUACACUAUGUAGCUGAGGACAAUUUUGAACUUCUCCUCUUGUCCCUUCUUUCCAGAUGCAAAGAUUGCAGACAUGUGCCAUCUCCUUUAGUAUCAAAUUGGUUCAAGAGGGCAUGGAAGGCAAAGGAAAUCCCAUUUUCGCUCACUGUCUUCCCAAGCUCUUUGCAGGUUGGUGAUAGCUUACUUCCUGCCCUCAAACCGCAGCCCAAGAAGCACAUUUUCCCUUAAAGGGUCCUUUCUGUGACAAGACCAUGGUUCUUAGAACUGGUCAUACAUACUUUCCACAAUCUCCCUUACCUUCCCUCCUGGCCCCUGCACUUCCUGGUUCAGGGACGAGGCAGGAUAUAGAGGCCAUACAGAUCUGGAUUUGAAUUCUGGCCCAUGACCACUCAAGGUAUUAGUAGCAUAUAGAUUGACAGUCAGCAGCUGGAUUUCGAACUCUGCUUGGCUGCUCUCUUGGUAUCGCCGGGACAAAUAGCUGACCUUGUUUGGUUUCCCCAUUUCAAAAAUGUGGGCAAUCCUAGAGCCUCCUAGACCGCUCACAGAGUGAAUGUAGACUCUAGCAAUACAACAGUCUGCGUUGUCUUAAGCUGUUAUCACUGUAAUUUCAUCUCCCUGAGGCUCUAUUUCCUUGUCUGGAACGAAUCCCCGUACUUGGUUUCCUAAUAUUGUCCUUGGGUUGUUGUAAAUAUUAAAUGUUGUGAAUAUGUCCAACGUCGCUGUCGGAAGCUUUCAGAGAGGUUGCUUUGGUUUGACUUUUAUAGGGCUGUGCUGAACCCAGGGCUUUGUGCCUUCCAGUCCGGUACGGCGGUGUCUGUCCCCAGGCUUGGUAGUAGGGAUCCACACAUCAGCCUAUUAUUUCUUUUAAAAUAUUUUAAUUACAUUAGUUGAUUGAUUGAGCCUGUGUGCAGGUAUAUGUGUGUGGGUACACUUGGGAGUCUGCUCCCUCCUUCCGCUCUGUGGAUCAUAGUGAUUGAACUCAGGUCAUCAGGCUCAGCCUGAGAGAUCUGGCUGGCUCCCCUUAUUAUUCAUCUGUGUUUAUUUCCCUGGUGUGCUCAGAGUUUGGGGGAGAGGGUCAUUUCCUUGGCUAAUGCAACAGCUUCCUUCUUCCUCUUACAUCAUCAUGAAGGCAGAUAAAUUUGAGUCCUGGAGGACUGGGGGUUCUCGUCCAUUCCAGAGCAAAGGGCAUGUGGGCAAACACAUCUCUGCUAGCUGAUUUCAAAGGAGGAACACACAUCUGAAAGUGGAUGCUGCACACCCACAAUGUUGUCAAUAGAAGCAAGGGGAUUACUGUGUGAGUUAAAGGCCAGUCCGGGUUAAAAAACAGGACUUUAAAACAACAAAACAGGGCUGGAGAGGUGGCUCAGCGGUUAAGAGCAAUGACUGCUCUUCCAGAGGUCCUAAGUUCAAUUCCCAACAACCACAUGGUGGCUCACAACCAUCUGUAAUGGAAUCGGAUGCCCUCUUCUGGUGUGUCUGAAGACACUGAAAGUGUGCUCAUAUACAUAAAAUAAAUAAAU